GGGGGCGGGGUGUGCGCGGCCCAAAAGGAGGCUUGGUGGCUGUGCUGCGUCCUUGUUGCUGUCUCUGGCUGUGGGGCUUCCUGGUGAUCUGAUGCCAUCGUGGGCCGCGGGUGAUGCCUGCUCCUCCCGGAGGCCGGGCGGAAGGCAUCACCAUGUGGGCGAUCCCUAGAAGUGGGAAGGAACCCUGCACUCCACAGCUGUUCUGCAAGUAGCCUUGGCUCUGAUGUCUCCCCACUGUGGCACACAGCACACUGGUGUCCACCAUUCCCCUGGAGUCUGAGCAUCAAAUUUCCAUAAUGCCAGAACUGGAAGAUACUUGAAAGAUUGUCCCUUCAGUGGCCGUCGUGCUGAUCUGUGGAAUCCAUUCCUCAGAAGGGUCUAGCCUGGCAAGCAGGCCUCUGAGGUGUGCAUUUCCUCCUUAGUGGAAAUGAGGAAGCGGGUACUAAGAAGCUGCAUCCUGUCCACAUUUACACACCAGGUUUGGCCACCGUGUUGACUCCUUUGGGAGUGAAGAGCCGUGCUGUGCGUCGGAACCCAGGCCCCUCUGACUUCUGAAUGAGUAGCGAUAUUUAAUAAAUGCGGUUUUAAAGUA